UUUGGUGCAUUGUUGAAGAAAUGAAUGGAAACAAAGAUACCUACAUCACAACGUGUUGCAUCGAUCCCCCCUCUUUAUCUCAAUCACAUCGAUAGCAAGCUUCUUCUAUUCGAUUUUGAUUUGAGCAUUGAGGUAGCGUAUGAAAACCCUAACUCUUGAUUUCUGAUCUCGAUUGAUCGUUCUUGCAGGUCCAUCUCUGCAGACAUUCUUCAAGUUUGUGUUUGAGUUAUUACCCUCAAAUAAGUAUCGCUGAUAUGGUUACAAGAGCUAUAAAGAAGGAAUCAAAUCGGUGCAAAUGUUAAACACUGUUGGGCCUGUGUUUCUUUGAAGAACUUUUGCAAAAUCUAUCAACUAAAUGUUGGAUAUUGCUUCACAGCUUCGCUUUUGAUCUUUUAAGAGAGGGAAGAAUUGAUGUCGUUUGAAAUUACAGAUACACAUCCCAAAACUGUGUUGGAAUCUGAUAAGAACAACUCAACUGCCUUGCAAACAUUAGCUAUGAAACCAGAAAUCUUUCCGAGUAGAAAGAGGCUUGGUUUAUGGGGCCGUCUCAUCUAUUCUUGGUCAGAGCAUCUCGUUCACACAAUAGUCCAGUGACGGCCAUGCCUCACGUCAUUUAGAACCUGUUUAACGUUUGUUGUGGGGUAACCAAGAAUGGAUGUUGUUACAACCUCAGUGUUCAUCCAUUUCACAGGGAGCUGGUCACUUGUCACAUAUGAUCAUGGUAAUGAACACGAGAAACUUGCCACUUGAAGAGAGAAGCUCCAUCAUAUAUUCAGAAGAGAAGCAGGAUAAGUAUCAUCAUCAGAAAGUUAAUGGAUCAAAUACAAUUACACGUGGUAGCAUUGCAUGUUCUCCAUCUGUCAUGGAUCAUCAUCAUCAUCUUUAAAAAUAUAUAGAUAUAAAAUAUAAUUCAGAUGAGAUAAAAUCAACAAAAAACACAACCGCAUGCAUUAGGAAAAUGAGGAUGAUGAGAGUGUUGGAAGCAAGGUGGAGUCGGCUGUUUGCAGCUAAGACGUCGGAGCGCGCUGCCGUUCAUGGUGUUAAGCAUCCGGCUACCCAUACUCUACAAGAUAGGGAAAGGAUUGAAGUAGAGAUUGAUAAAACAAAACAAGAACAAGGGAAGAAAAGGAAGGAGGUGGAACAAAAAGUUGAGUCCCAGCUGAACAACUCCGAGAACGUCACCCAAUCACCCGAAUCGCUCUCUAGCUCUUGAACAUAUAUAUACAACUGAUAGAAUAUACAUGUUGUUUUUUUAAAUGAAGGGUAUAUGAUUUCCAGAUGCAGUCUGUUUGUGUGAGCAAGACAAAACAAAAGCUUCAAAAUUCUGUAAGAUAUGCAAAAUACAAUUUAGUUUAUGUGUU